rnacentral:lncRNA from 1 species
GAUGCUUUCCCCGGCUUUGUGAAGAAACUGCACUUUCGUUCCCUCUGCUACGUUUUCCAUUUCCCCUCCUUCCGGGAGCUGAGGUCGUGGAGAGAGGCUCAAGCUUUUUGCCAGGAUUCUGGACAGAGCUUAGCCAUUAUCCAUGAUGCUGAGGAAAAUGCCUUCUUAUCAGAUUUUUGUGGUCUGCCAGAUCCUGUCCACUUUCCUCUCCCUGGGGGUCUGGUAUCUCCAAGCACCACUGAUGUCACCUUCUCUUUCUCAAGCCAUUCUGCCUGUAUCUUGUCCUUGAUCAGCUGCCAUGCCAAUGUCACUUCUUUCCGACUCAGCCUUGAGGCUGAUGCCACCCAUGUACAUGGCAGUAUUGUCAUGCAGCUCCAUGGCUUUUUGGUGCAUAGGAAUCUCUCCCGUGUGCCCUUUUCCCUUGGACUCAACACAUGGAGCUUCAUCACCUAUGCUGAUGGCCUGGCAAGCUUCUUCAACCACCAAGAGCACUUCCGGUUCUCCGGUGCCCAAGACAUCUCUUUUGAAGACAUCAGCUCCUUGCAGAUAACUGGAGCCACAGUGGUCAAUGCUUCCCUAGCAUAUCGUCUUUCCUCUGAGCUGCAUUUCCCUGGAGGCAGCAGUGUGCAGCUGGAGAACGCCAUCCCGCGCUAUUUGAACCACUUCACCAUUGGGCUAUGGCUCCGAAGCAAUGCUACCAGCUCACCCAGGAUGUGUCUGAUUGGAUAUUCACUGAAGUGGCAGCGACCAGAAUUUGCUCUAUUUCUACUGUCCCCUUCUGGGUUGGAAUUCCACACCAAGGGAACAGUGAUGUUCAGUGGUUCCCACAAAUCUCUCCUGGAUGGCUCCUGGCACCAUGUGGCUGUUUCUGCCUCCAGUGCUGCAAGUGCCACCUCCUUUGAAGUCUUCAUUGAUGGUGAACCCUGGGAGCCACAGAUCACAAAGCGCAGCAGCUUUCUUCAGAAAGGGCUGUCUCUUGGGGGAAAGCUGAGCAUAGGACAGCUGGAGGUGAACAACAGAGGUGCUGCCUUCUUGUGGUUUGGCAUCCUCCGGCUCAGAGGAAAAAAAUCAGUUUUGUGUGCAGAUCCAGAGCAGUCCCUGAUUUACAUUGAACCUGUGUCGAAUGAGUGCCUCAAACAUGCUUUCUGGGGGCUGCAGCAGAAUGGACGACUCCGUAAUGUUGCAAACCCUUCAUCUUGUGUCAUGGUAAAUGGAA